rnacentral:lncRNA from 1 species
UGUCUAGAGAGAAAAACGUGAAGAAGAAGAGGGUCUUCUUCUUGGGUUUUUGUUUUCACAUCUUUCCUCCCUCCAUCUUGAGUUUCCUGAGAGUGUCUCAGAUCUGAAACUCCUCCUUCUACUUUUCAUCUUUGGAAGAGUCCAAAUCAAGAAGAAGGAGGCACAUGAUCAACCAUCAAAGAAGGAUCAGCGCAGUACUAGCAUACUGUGCUGAUUUCCUGAAGCAGGACUUCUGAUCGAGAUUCGUGGGCUCAUGUGGACGACUCCUAGAGGCUGGACGUGUGUGCGGCUUGCAACAUCAUCCUCAAGCCCAGAUCAGCAAGGUUAGAACAUCUAACUUGCAAGGUAAUAGAUCUGAUCUAUUGUUUAAUACAUACAUUAGAUGUAGCUAGUAUAGAAACAUGUUGAUAUGAUCAACAUGUAGUUCAUACUAUAUUUAUAUAUAUUUUAAUUUUUGAUUUAAUGCUAUGU